rnacentral:rRNA from 1 species
UACGGAGGGUGCAAGCGUUAAUCGGAAUUACUGGGCGUAAAGCGUGCGCAGGCGGUUUGUUAAGUCCGUUGUGAAAGCCCCGAGCUCAACUUGGGAAUUGCAGUGGAUACUGGCAGGCUGGAGUACGGUAGAGGAAGGUGGAAUCCCGGUGUAGCAGUGAAAUGCGUAGAGAUCGGGAGGAACAUCAGUUGCGAAGGCGGCUCUCUGGACCAGCACUGGACACUGAGGCACGAAAGCGUGGGGAGCAAACAGG